AUUUCCUGGGGAUCUUGUUAAAAUGUAAGUUCUGAUUCAGUAAGUCUGAGGUGGCCCAAGAUUCUGCAUUUUUAACAAGUUCCCAGAUGAUGCCAA
rnacentral:pre_miRNA from 1 species